rnacentral:lncRNA from 1 species
CGCCUCAAUUAACGAACCCCGAGAUCGGGCCCAGUCGGUCCGCACAAGCAGAGACUGAGGGAGGGAAGGAAAUGAGAAUGGGAAAAGAAAGGAAAAUUCAAGGAAAGCAGCCCUACCCCUCCUCGCCAUUACCCAAGGAGAAUAAGGCUGGGAAGAAGGGGAGAAAAGAACAAGAAGACCGGGAUACAUUGCAAGAUAUGCUGGUUGACCUCAGGUUUCUUUUGAUUUGCAUUUCUUUUAUUAUCAAGAUUUGGAACAUUCCUUCAUAAGAUUGUGUUGAUUCUUGCUCGGCAAACAUUUUUUGAGAUCUCCUUUGCUCCCAAUGAAGGGAUUGGCAUCUCCAACCUUGGGAAUUUUGAUCAAGAAAACAACUCCAGAAACCCAGGAGUCAAAAUGUAAGCUGGUUUUCUCACAUAGCACAGCAUGGACUCCCCAAGGAUCAAGGAGCAAUCUUCUGGAGUGACUUCAGGAUUCUAGCCCAGAGGAAGGGUUCAUCCAUCUGUUGUGCCACAUCUGGACUUGAAUUUGGGGAGACUGAUACUAGAUAGGAACUGAGCUAAGUUUUGAGCCUACAUUUCCAGACACUGAGAUGUUUAAGGAAAUGUAUGACCCCAAAGAGUUGGAGGAGAACAAAUGUUUGUAUACUUGUUUUUGUUCUAUCAUUGAAGCAAAUUGCUCUCUAUAAAAGCUAACCCCAUGCUAAGUGGAAUGGGAUUACUAGUCAUUUUUGAUAAACGAGGAAAACACAGACGGUGGGUGACGAGGCCCAUGGUAUUAGGGAAAAGAGAUGCCUCCAAGCCCUCAGGGUACCCUAAAACUGUGCCUAGAUGAUGUAUCACCCUGGCCCUUAGAUAGUGGGGCUAGACUGUAUGUGUUACCACAAAACCAAGAUCAAGAAUAGCAUGACAAUUUUGCUCCACUUGAUAGUGAAUGUGCCCUGCAAUUACUUCCUACAACUAGUUGGAUGUAGAAUUUUGAAGAUGAUCUGAUAUGAUAUGCCACUGUUAGUGAGGUGCAUAUUCUUAAAGCAAAAUAAUAUUUUUGUGAAUGUUAAAAGUUUCAUAAUAUCUGUAAUGUUUAUGAUUCAGGUAAGUGCAAUAAAAUAGGCUAGAUCAUAAAACCCCA